CUGACAAUCCACACCUCGGGUGCCCUCUGGGCAUAACAGGGAAGCCGGUGCGAAACCGGCGCGGUACCGCCACCGUGAGUGGGGAGCCGCCUCCAAAGACCACUGGGCCAUUGAAGAGGCCUGGGAAGGUGGACGCGGCGCUGGGAGCCCGAAAGGCCCCCUGAACCCAUGAGCCGGGAGACCUACCCGAGCCCCCCACGAGGU
rnacentral:ncRNA from 2 species